CUCUGCUGAUCGUCUGCAUUCAGGAGCGCGGCAGUCGUGCAGUCAGCGUCUUCCUCUUCCAGAGCGAGUCUCUCAGGGCUGAUUAUCUGAAGAAAGGCCUGGAGCGGCUCCUGCAGAACAAGAGAGACGAUCACAGACUGACUAACUCCAGUAAAGCCGCUGUUGGAAACGUCACACGGAGAAACUCACGACAAGCAUCUUCUCCACCUCAGCUGAUCCUUCAGAAACCACCCGAACCCUGGGCCGCUCCGGAUUAUGAUGAGAGUCCGGUCCCGCCUCCUCCCGCCUCCA